rnacentral:rRNA from 1 species
CCUACGGGUGGCAGCAGUGGGGAAUAUUGGGCAAUGGGCGCAAGCCUGACCCAGCAACGCCGCGUGAAGGGAGAAGGCUUUCGGGUUGUAGACUUCUUUUGUCAGGGAAGAGUAGAAGACGGUACCUGACGAAUCAGCAACGGCUAACUACGUGCCAGCAGCUGCGGUAAUACGUAGGUGGCAAGCGUUGUCCGGAUUUACUGGGUGUAAAGGGCGUGUAGCCGGGUUGACAAGUCAGAUGUGAAAUCCUGCGGCUUAACCGCAGAACUGCAUUUGAAACUGUUGAUCUGGAGUACUGGAGAGGCAGACGGAAUUCCUAGUGUAGCGGUGAAAUGCGUAGAGAUUAGGAGGAACACCAGUGGCGAAGGCGGUCUGCUGGACAGCAACUGACGGUGAGGCGCGAAAGCGUGGGGAGCAAACAGGAUUAGAUACCCGGGUAGUC